GAAUCKAACCUGGGUUUCUUCGGCCACAACGAAGUGUACUAACCACUAUACUA
rnacentral:tRNA from 1 species